rfam:Alligator mississippiensis ScZkoYb_67, whole genome shotgun sequence.
GGUCAGUGAUGAGCCUUGGCAUGUAUUAUCUGACUAAAGUUGAAGAUUACUGCUUUAGCUCUAGAAUUACUCUGAGACCUG